rnacentral:rRNA from 1 species
GAGUGGCGGACGGGUGAGUAAUGUCUGGGAAACUGCCCGAUGGAGGGGGAUAACUACUGGAAACGGUAGCUAAUACCGCAUAACGUCGCAAGACCAAAGUGGGGGACCUUCGGGCCUCACACCAUCGGAUGUGCCCAGAUGGGAUUAGCUAGUAGGUGGGGUAAUGGCUCACCUAGGCGACGAUCCCUAGCUGGUCUGAGAGGAUGACCAGCCACACUGGAACUGAGACACGGUCCAGACUCCUACGGGAGGCAGCAGUGGGGAAUAUUGCACAAUGGGCGCAAGCCUGAUGCAGCCAUGCCGCGUGUAUGAAGAAGGCCUUCGGGUUGUAAAGUACUUUCAGCGGGGAGGAAGGCGGUGAGGUUAAUAACCUCGCCGAUUGACGUUACCCGCAGAAGAAGCACCGGCUAACUCCGUGCCAGCAGCCGCGGUAAUACGGAGGGUGCAAGCGUUAAUCGGAAUUACUGGGCGUAAAGCGCACGCAGGCGGUCUGUUAAGUCAGAUGUGAAAUCCCCGGGCUUAACCUGGGAACUGCAUUUGAAACUGGCAGGCUUGAGUCUCGUAGAGG